rnacentral:rRNA from 1 species
CAGUCGCCGCGGGAAUACGGAGGGGGCUAGCGUUGUUCGGAAUUACUGGGCGUAAAGCGCACGUAGGCGGCUUGGUAAGUUAGAGGUGAAAGCCUGGAGCUCAACUCCAGAAUUGCCUUUAAGACUGCCGAGCUAGCAGGUGAGAGAGGUAAGUGGAAUUCCGAGUGUAGAGGUGAAAUUCGUAGAUAUUCGGAAGAACACCAGUGGCGAAGGCGGCUUACUGGCUCAUACUGGACGCUGAGGUGCGAAAGCGUGGGGAGCAAACAGGAUUAGAGACCCCAGUAGUCCCUGUCUCUUAUAA